rnacentral:rRNA from 1 species
AGAGUUUGAUCAUGGCUCAGAGCGAACGUUAGCGGCACGCUUAACACAUGCAAGUCGCACGAGAAAGGGGGCAACCCUGAGUACAGUGGCGCACGGGUGCGUAACACGUAGAUAAUCUGCCCUUUGGCGGGGGACAACGUUCCGAAAGGAGCGCUAAUACCGCAUACAGCUGAGAGUGGUUUGCCACUUUCAGGCAAAGGUAGGGACCGGCAACGGCCUACCGCCGAAGGAGGAGUCUGCGGCCCAUCAGCUAGUUGGGGAGGUAAUGGCUCACCAAGGCAGAGACGGGUAGCUGGUCUGAGAGGAUGAUCAGCCACACUGGUACUGGAACACGGACCAGACUCCUACGGGAGGCAGCAGUGGGGAAUCUUGGUCAAUGGGCGCAAGCCUGAACCAGCGAUGCCGCGUGAGUGAUGAAGGCCUUCGGGUUGUAAAGCUCUGUGGGGAGGGACGAAAGAAUCGGUUCUAACAGGACCGACGUUGACGGUACCUCCUUAGCAAGCACCGGCUAACUCUGUGCCAGCAGCCGCGGUAAGACAGAGGGUGCAAACGUUGCUCGGAAUUACUGGGCGUAAAGGGCGUGUAGGCGGGAAGGCAAGUCGGGCGUGAAAUCCCCAAGCUCAACUUGGGAACUGCACUCGAAACUGCCUUUCUUGAGUGCCGGAGAGGAAAGCGGAAUUCCUGGUGUAGAGGUGAAAUUCGUAGAUAUCAGGAGGAACACCAGUGGCGAAGGCGGCUUUCUGGACGGUUACUGACGCUGAGACGCGAAAGCGUGGGGAGCAAACAGGAUUAGAUACCCUAGUAGUCC